GCUGCCUCCAUGAAGAUUUGUUGGUUGGGUUUAUUCAGAAGGAAUAAUCAGGGGCUGCCAGUUUCCUGUUGAGCUUGGAUGAUGAGGCAAAUUCUACUACUAAAUAAUAUGGAUUUUCUUGUUUGAAGAGGUCCUUGAUAGAAAAACUCUCAAGAACUGUUGUUGUUGCUUCCCAGUGCUUCAGUGGUGGCAGUCAGAAAGGGACUGAAUCCAAUGAUGCUCUAAUCACCACACCUAAUGUACGCACAUGAGUGUGGGAUGGAGCAAGAGCAUUACACAGAGCUUUGAAAGUCUUCCGAUGAUGGCUGCUGAGCAUGUGCAUUGCCCAGUUGUGUUAUCAUUUUGUUCACUCAGAACACAUUGCUCUCAUGAGCAGCUUCUCUUCCUCUGUCUCCUUCUCCUUCCUGUUGGCCAUUCACCCAAUGGAUAAUCCAGAGGCGAGGUUCUGCUUCAGUGGCAGUUUGCAGAGCCACGUGAUGCAAGAGCAUGGAUAAGUGGGCCCAACUGGUGCAGCUUGCUUCCUUCAUUUGGUGGUGGUAGCAAUGAGAAGUUAGCAGUUAGCUAACUAACUUUUCUCAAUUAGCACUUACCCCUGCAAACUGAGCAAAAAGGCACCUGUUAAAGUGGUGAAUUAUAUUGUUAAUGUUUGGUAGACUAGUAGUUUGGAAAAAGAAAAUGAGCACUCUUUUCCUUGGAAAACAUUAAUGCUUCUGCAAAAAUAAGCACAGCAGCACUCCUCUGUAGUAUUCAUAGCUAAAUUUAUUAAAGACUUUUCUCUUUU